rnacentral:rRNA from 1 species
UACGAAGGGGGCUAGCGUUGUUCGGAAUUACUGGGCGUAAAGCGCGCGCAGGCGGCCUUUCAAGUCAGGGGUGAAAUCCCAGAGCUCAACUCUGGAAUUGCCUCUGAGGCUGUGAGGCUUCGAGUACGGGAGAGGUGAGUGGAAUUCCCAGUGUAGAGGUGAAAUUCGUAGAUAUUGGGAAGAACACCGGUGGCGAAGGCGGCUCACUGGCCCGUUACUGACGCUGAGGUGCGAAAGCGUGGGGAGCAAACAGG